UUGUCUGGUCUGGAGGUGUGAAUCCAGCAGCGUCUCUCACAGUGAGUCCUCACAGACUGCAGCACUUCAGCACAGAGUCACUGUCACUGAGCUGUGAGGGAAACUCUGCUGAGUGGAGAGUGAUGAAGGCUGAUGAAUCUGGCUUCAUGUCAUCCUGUUCUCACUGGGGACAAAUGACUGGAUCCACAUGCAACACCGACACUAGAGCGAGUAGUGGAGUGUACUGGUGUGAGUCUGCAACACAGUCCAGCAAUGCAGCCAACAUCACUACACACAGUGGUGAUGUCAUCCUGGUGAGUCCUGUCCAUCCUGUGACUGAGGGACAUUCGGUCACUCUUGGCUGCACGUUGAGGACA